AUGGCAAUUGUCCAUACAUACGGGAAGCCAGACAUCUUCUUGGCCAUGACUUGCAAUCCUAAAUGGGAAGAGAUAACGAAUGAGUUGUUGCCUGGUCAGACGGCGCAAGACCGACCUAAUCUUGUGGAUCGCGUCGGCAAACUAGAGGCUAUGAAGGACAUGUUGUUCAAGAAGCACAUCCUGGGUGUUGUUGUCGCAUAUGUGUAUGUUGUCGAGUUUCAAAAAAGAGGCCUC
rnacentral:rRNA from 1 species